GAUGAACGCUGACAGAAUGCUUAACACAUGCAAGUCUUUGGCGAAUCUGUGCUUGCACAGGCUAGCCAAGGCGGACGGGUGAGUAACGCGUAAAGAACUUGCCCUGCAGACAGGGAUAACAGACGGAAACGACUGAUAACACCUGAUACAGUUGCCGGCACGCAUGUGCCUGGCAAUGAAAAGAGAUGCUGCAGAAGAGCUUUGCGUCCUAUUAGCUUGUUGGUGAGGUGACGGCUCACCAAGGCGAUGAUAGGUAGCCGGCCUGAGAGGGUGAACGGCCACAAGGGGACUGAGAUACGGCCCUUACUCCUACGGGAGGCAGCAGUGGGGAAUAUUGGACAAUGGGGGCAACCCUGAUCCAGCAAUUCUGUGUGCACGAAGAAGGUUUUCGGAUUGUAAAGUGCUUUCAGCAGGGAAGAAGAAAGUGACGGUACCUGCAGAAGAAGCGACGGCUAAAUACGUG
rnacentral:rRNA from 1 species